AGAAUAAAAAAAAAGUAGCCGCUAACUACCAAUAAGUGAUAAAUCUCACUUUAUUCUU
rnacentral:tRNA from 1 species